rnacentral:rRNA from 1 species
GGAGCCGUGCGGUUUAAUUGGAUUCAACGCCGGAAAUCUCACCGGGGCGACAGCAAUAUGAAGGUCAGGCUGAAGCUUACCCGAUUAGCUGAGAGGUGGUGCAUGGCCGUCGUCAGUUCGUACUGUGAAGCAUCCUGUUAAGUCAGGCAACGAGCGAGACCCACGUCCACAGUUGCCAGCAUACCCUCCGGGGUGAUGGGUACACUGUGGAGACCGCCGCUGCUAAAGCGGAGGAAGGAGUGGGCAACGGUAGGUCAGUAUGCCCCGAAUCUCCCGGGCUACACGCGGGCUACAAUGGUUGGUACAAUGGGCAUCUACCCCGAAAGGGGAAGGAAAUCUCUUAAAGCCAAUCGUAGUUCGGAUUGAGGGCUGCAACUCGCCCUCAUGAAGCUGGAAUCCGUAGUAAUCGCGUUUCAACAGAACGCGGUGAAUACGUCCCUGCUCCUU